rnacentral:lncRNA from 1 species
AUCGCCACUAAAAGUCAGACAUGGCUAACAUUUUAAUUUUCAAGGCUGCAUGUUUCAAUGUAAAUCAAAUGAGUAUUAUUUUCAACGUUUGAUGAGCUUGAGAUCCUGAUCUGCAUUUUGGCAAAAAUAUGGAUGAACAUCAGGGUGAAAACAUAGAUAGGCUUAGCCUAUGCAUUUUGAUUAAAAUGUUUUCAAAUAAAGACUAAUAAAUGCCCUUACAUCCUGUAUAACCACAAACUCACUUCCAUGACAACAAACAUGGGUCAUUUUGUGGAAGGGCUAUCAGAACAAGUUUACAAAUAAAAAAACAUUUAUGAUGCCUUGUGUAGGCAUUUCAAAGACACAAAAAUGAAUUUGAACUCCUGGAAAGAGAUCGGGGACGUAUUGGUGAUAAAUGCUUUAUAAACAAACACAAACUCCUGUAUAAACAGGAACUCACUUCCUUAACAACGAUAGAUAAUUUUGUGUAAAGGCUAUCAGAACAAGUUUACAAAUCAAAAAACAUCUUUAUGAUACCUUUUGUAGGCAUUUCAAAGACACAACAAUUUGUUUAAUCUCCUGGAAAGAGAUCGGGAAGGUAAUGGAGAUAGAUGUGGUAAAGAACUCAAUGGAGUUAAAUAAACUUAAAAAGAAAAAAAAGAAUGCAGACCAUAGGAUAGAAAGAUGCUGGAUUGGCUCACAUUGAACAAAUUUCAUCUAACAGUGGAUAUUUGUCAAAUCCGUCAUGAUUGAUGUAUUGUAUCAGGCCCACAACGACAUUACUAAAAUCCGAUUUGGAUAUAUUUGGCUGUUUUUGCUGCGUAACAUUUAGAAGUUUUUCAGAUUUAAAAAUGACUGCUAAAUGCUAACUCCCAUUCAUAUAAGCUGGUAGCAUAGCUAGCAUACAGAAAUAGGUGUUGGUAGUCAAUGUAGUUUUUAACUGUAAUGCAGUUGAUUGAUGACAUGAACAUGUAUUGGGGUUGACAUCCAUACAAGCAUUAUACUCCUAUUUCUACCUCGACAUUGGGUGAGCUCUUAUGUCAAGCACCAGGAAACGGACUCCACAUCUCAGAAGAGAAACUCCAUACAAUGCCAACCAAGUCUCAGUUCAAGAUGAGCCACAUGUCAACUGUCAAUCAUUCCCAGCCAGGUAUCAUUACCUGAAUCUAUAAAGACUCUGAACUGCAUCGCUGCCUCCGCCUGCUCUUUAACUGGAGUUCCACAGUCGAUGGGCAUCACCAUAACCCUCACCUAAACCUCAAUCAGUUACACAAUAUUGUUCAGUUACAAGAUUGCAACAGGCUAGGAACGAAAGUUUUGUUCACUGUUUCCCUGGGCACCCUUAUUAGGGGAAGACAUGCAGGCAAUGUGUAUGCUCAUGUUCAGGUGAGCGCUUUGUACCUGGAAGGUCGUUUGUGUAUAAGCUAUUGUUGGUGUUGGUUUAUUUCUGUGAGCAACCAUGCUGUCUUGAAGAAAUGUUUGGGGUGUGGUCGAUUUGUUCUGAAUGGUAUCUGUUGAGUUAGACCAUCAUUGAGUUUAUUCAUUUGACAAUAUAAAAGAUGCUGAUUAAUGUAAAGCCACUGCAAUGUCAUUUUGUUUUCAGUUUGUUUGUAAGAGGCUUUGCUGGUUUUGAGAUGCAGGCAGUUUAUUAGCAGUGCCCUCCGAUAAGUUGACUGUCUUUAAGUAAAGUAAUUUUGUAUUUCUAAAAUAUCUAAUGUUUAUGUAAGUGCAGUGGUUAACUGUUUAUUUUCUACCAUCAGAAGUAAUAUUGAUUGUCACUGUUUUUGGUCAUCUGGUGAACUUUGCCAACUGAAUCUCUGUGAAAUCACUGUUGUAUUUCAGAAAGCUAUCUAGUGGAAGUAACAGGCCGUUAAGAAUUUGUUCUUAAACUGACUUGCCUAGUUAAAUAAAAGGUUUAGACAUUUAAAAAAAAAAAUCAUUUAAUGUACUCUUGUUAAUGUGUCAAACAAGCAAACCUAAUCCCCUGAGCUUUAAACGUUGGUUGUUGUCCUGCCUCUGUACUGUUUCCAUUUAAUGGGCUUAGAACCUAUAACGUUUCAGAUGUUACAAUUGUAAUAAAGCAUUUUAUAUUUUUGCCAA